rnacentral:tRNA from 1 species
AAGAGGUGUAUGAACAGUUAGAGUUGCUAACUCAG